rnacentral:rRNA from 1 species
GUGAGGAAUAUUGGUCAAUGGGCGGGAGCCUGAACCAGCCAAGUCGCGUGAAGGAAGAAGGAUCUAUGGUUCGUAAACUUCUUUUGCAGGGGAAUAAAGUGCGGGACGUGUCCUGUUUUGUAUGUACCCUGAGAAUAAGGAUCGGCUAACUCCGUGCCAGCAGCCGCGGUAAUACGGAGGAUCCGAGCGUUAUCCGGAUGUAUUGGGUUUAAAGGGUGCGUAGGUGGUUUGAUAAGUCAGCGGUGAAAGUUUGCAGCUUAACUGUAAAAAUGCCGUUGAAACUGUCGGACUUGAGUGUAAAUGAGGUAGGCGGAAUGCGUGGUGUAGCGGUGAAAUGCAUAGAUAUCACGCAGAACUCCGAUUGCGAAGGCAGCUUACUAAGCUACAACUGACACUGAAGCACGAAAGCGUGGGGAUCAAACAGGAUUAGAAACCCGAGUAGUCC